UCGAACGGCAGCACGGGGGCAACCCUGGUGGCGAGUGGCGAACGGGUGAGUAAUGCAUCGGAACGUGCCCAGUAGUGGGGGAUAACUAGUCGAAAGAUUAGCUAAUACCGCAUACGACCUAUGGGUGAAAGCGGGGGACCGUAAGGCCUCGCGCUAUCGGAGCGGCCGAUGUCUGAUUAGCUAGUUGGUGGGGUAAAGGCCCACCAAGGCGACGAUCAGUAGCUGGUCUGAGAGGACGACCAGCCACACUGGGACUGAGACACGGCCCAGACUCCUACGGGAGGCAGCAGUGGGGAAUUUUGGACAAUGGGCGCAAGCCUGAUCCAGCCAUGCCGCGUGCGGGAAGAAGGCCUUCGGGUUGUAAACCGCUUUUGGCAGGAACGAAACGGCGCGGGCGAAUAUCUCGCGCUAAUGACGGUACCUGCAGAAUAAGCACCGGCUAACUACGUGCCAGCAGCCGCGGUAAUACGUAGGGUGCAAGCGUUA
rnacentral:rRNA from 1 species